AAAAGAGGAGGAGAGCCUCCUUAGCUAAAGCAUCAGCCUGGCGAUUCAAGUUUCUAGAAAUGAAAUUGAAAGAGCAACAAUUGAAAUUAGAGGAUAGAUUCAGGAUGUCGUGGAGAAUCCUGUGAAGUUCCUUUGAGUGGAGCUUCAAAUUAAGAGCUUUGACUAGAUUAGACGAGUCUGAAGCGAAAGAGAUGGAUUUGAGAUCCGAUUCGAGUGCACCUUCAACCGCAGUGAGAGUUGCCAUUGCUUCGGCCAUCAAGGGAGAUCCAACAUGGGAUG
rnacentral:lncRNA from 1 species